GACGAACGCUGGCGGCGUGCUUUAUACAUGCAAGUCGAACGAUGAAGUUCCUUCGGGAAUGGAUUAGUGGCGAACGGGUGAGGAACACGUGAGAAACCUGCCUUUCAUUCUGGGAUAACACCGGGAAACCGGUGCUAAUACCGGAUACUCCAUCUUGCGGCAUCGCCGAGCUGGGAAAAAAUUUUGAUGAAAGAUGGUCUCGCGGCCUAUCAGCUAGUUGGUGAGGUAAAGGCUCACCAAGGCGACGACGGGUAGCCGGCCUGAGAGGGCGACCGGCCACACUGGGACUGAGACACGGCCCAGACUCCUACGGGAGGCAGCAGUAGGGAAUAUUGGGCAAUGGGCGAAAGCCUGACCCAGCGACGCCGCGUGAGGGAUGAAGGUCUUCGGAUUGUCAAACCUCUUNCAGUCAGGGAAVAAGCGAAAGUGACGGUACCUAAAG
rnacentral:rRNA from 1 species